rnacentral:rRNA from 1 species
GGGUGAGUAACACGUAUCCAACCUGCCCUUUACUCGGGGAUAGCCUUUCGAAAGAAAGAUUAAUACCCGAUAGCAUAAUGAUUCCGCAUGGUUUCAUUAUUAAAGGAUUCCGGUAAAGGAUGGGGAUGCGUUCCAUUAGGUUGUUGGUGAGGUAACGGCUCACCAAGCCUUCGAUGGAUAGGGGUUCUGAGAGGAAGGUCCCCCACAUUGGAACUGAGACACGGUCCAAACUCCUACGGGAGGCAGCAGUGAGGAAUAUUGGUCAAUGGGCGGUAGCCUGAACCAGCCAAGUAGCGUGAAGGAUGAAGGCUCUAUGGGUCGUAAACUUCUUUUAUAUAAGAAUAAAGUGCAGUAUGUAUACUGUUUUGUAUGUAUUAUAUGAAUAAGGAUCGGCUAACUCCGUGCCAGCAGCCGCGGUAAUACGGAGGAUCCGAGCGUUAUCCGGAUUUAUUGGGUUUAAAGGGAGCGUAGGUGGACUGGUAAGUCAGUUGUGAAAGUUUGCGGCUCAACCGUAAAAUUGCAGUUGAUACUGUCAGUCUUGAGUACAGUAGAGGUGGGCGGAAUUCGUGGUGUAGCGGUGAAAUGCUUAGAUAUCACGAAGAACUCCGAUUGCGAAGGCAGCUCACUGGACUGCAACUGACACUGAUGCUCGAAAGUGUGGGUAUCAAACAGGAUUAGAUACCCUGGUAGUCCACACAGUAAACGAUGAAUACUCGCUGAUUGCGAUAUACAGUAAGCGGCCAAGCGAAAGCAUUAAGUAUUCCACCUGGGGAGUACGCCGGCAACGGUGAAACUCAAAGGAAUUGACGGGGGCCCGCACAAGCGGAGGAACAUGUGGUUUAAUUCGAUGAUACGCGAGGAACCUUACCCGGGCUUAAAUUGCAGUGGAAUGAUGUGGAAACAUGUCAGUGAGCAAUCACCGCUGUGAAGGUGCUGCAUGGUUGUCGUCAGCUCGUGCCGUGAGGUGUCGGCUUAAGUGCCAUAACGAGCGCAACCCUUAUCUUCAGUUACUAACAGGUCAUGCUGAGGACUCUGGAGAGACUGCCGUCGUAAGAUGUGAGGAAGGUGGGGAUGACGUCAAAUCAGCACGGCCCUUACGUCCGGGGCUACACACGUGUUACAAUGGGGGGUACAGAAGGCAGCUAGCGGGUGACCGUAUGCUAAUCCCAAAAUCCUCUCUCAGUUCGGAUCGAAGUCUGCAACCCGACUUCGUGAAGCUGGAUUCGCUAGUAAUCGCGCAUCAGCCACGGCGCGGUGAAUAC